ACAUCACAUAUUUGCAAAAAUGCUCCGACGUUUUCGGAGACGUCUAUUUUUUCAUGCUUUGUGGCAGCUUUAGAACAUCUGUGGCAUCUAUUAAUGUCAAAUCUAGCCUUUAUUUAACAACAUAAGCGAACUCUAUGUUACAGUGAUUGCACAGCCAUUAAGGAUCAAAUCAAUGUUCUGUUUUUUUCUCCCUCUGCUUGCUUCUUACUGUCUUUGAGGCUCGGGACCAGCACUCCUGUUGUUGGACAGAAAGACAUCAACUCAGUGACUUGAGAUAUGACUGCACUGUGCUGUUGCUGUGACUCCAGUUAAUUCUACAAGACAUGCUGUGACACCAGGAGAGAUGAGUCCCCCGUCACAGAUGGUGUGGUCAGUGAAGAUGGUCGCCUGCAGGUUCAAGCUCAUUGCAUCUCCAACCCACAUCCACUGCGACUGUACUUAAGGGAAGUUAAAGACUUUCUUCUGCACUUACA